rnacentral:rRNA from 1 species
CAGUCGAGCGAAGCGCUUAAGUUUGAUCCUUCGGAUGAAGACUUUUGUGACUGAGCGGCGGACGGGUGAGUAACGCGUGGGUAACCUGCCUCAUACAGGGGGAUAACAGUUAGAAAUGGCUGCUAAUACUGCAUAAGACCACAGUACUGCAUGGUACAGUGUGAAAAACUCCGGUGGUAUGAGAUGGACCCGCGUCUGAUUAGCUUGUUGGCGGGGUAACGGCCCACCAAGGCGACGAUCAGUAGCCGACCUGAGAGGGUGACCGGCCACAUUGGGACUGAGACACGGCCCAGACUCCUACGGGAGGCAGCAGUGGGGAAUAUUGCACAAUGGAGGAAACUCUGAUGCAGCGACGCCGCGUGAGUGAAGAAGUAGUUCGCUAUGUAAAGCUCUAUCAGCAGGGAAGAUAGUGACGGUACCUGACUAAGAAGCUCCGGCUAAAUACGUGCCAGCAGCCGCGGUAAUACGUAUGGAGCAAGCGUUAUCCGGAUUUACUGGGUGUAAAGGGAGUGUAGGUGGCCAGGCAAGUCAGAAGUGAAAGCCCGGGGCUCAACCCCGGGACUGCUUUUGAAACUGCAGGGCUAGAGUGCAGGAGGGGCAAGUGGAAUUCCUAGUGUAGCGGUGAAAUGCGUAGAUAUUAGGAGGAACACCAGUGGCGAAGGCGGCUUGCUGGACUGUAACUGACACUGAGGCUCGAAAGCGUGGGGAGCAAACAGGAUUAGAUACCCUGGUAGUCCACGCCGUANACGAUGAAUACUNGGUGUCGGGGCACAUAAGUGCUCCGGUGCC